UACGGAGGGCGCGAGCGUUAAUCGGAAUUACUGGGCGUAAAGCGCGCGUAGGCUGUUGUGUAAGUUGGGGGUGAAAUCCCACGGCUCAACCGUGGAACAGCCCUUGAUACUGCGCGACUUGAAUCCGGGAGAGGGUGGCGGAAUUCCAGGUGUAGGAGUGAAAUCCGUAGAUAUCUGGAGGAACAUCAGUGGCGAAGGCGGCCACCUGGACCGGUAUUGACGCUGAGGCUCGAAAGCGUGGGGAGCAAACAGG
rnacentral:rRNA from 1 species